rnacentral:lncRNA from 1 species
GUCACACGUCUGUCUCCAGAAAAAAUGAACCAUUAAAGGCCACACCAAGCCUGGCUGACGCUUGGCCUGUGAAUAGGCCAAGAAAAGUAUCAGCUCCUGGCCGCCCUGAGGCCUAUUCACCGACUCACCAGUGAACCCAACAGGAAACACCGGGGUGUGUGGAGAUGAAAAAGCACAGGAUGCAGAAUCAGAAGACCCUGUUUAAGACCUGGUUUCCUCGCUCACCUGCUGUGCUGCUGUUGAAAAAGACACCUAGUUCCUCUGAAUCCCUCCUCGUAGGGAAAAUGUCUCCUCAUUUGCGAUCACUGGCUCUCUGACGUCUGAGAGCCUCCCUCCAGCAAGCUGGCCUCUGACUAAGCUGGUGGUGACUGAGUCCACAGGCCAAGGCACUGGGCUGCUCUCGGAUGAAGGGGAAGGAGCUGGACCACGAGGAGCCAGGAUGAGUCAGCACUUUUCUGGGAGUAAAGUCUCCCCUUGGGGAGGUGAAUGAACUCUGUUCUCACCCUGCUCCACAACUCACAUUUUCCUGGUCACUUGGUGGAGAGUGCAUCCUCCCAGCUUCAAUGGCUUGUUGUCACAGAAUGACUUGUUCCUGAGUGUUGAAUAGUGAUACCUGAGGGCUCCCCCUACUAAUUAAAAAAGCACAAACACAAACAUUUAGAUUCAUAUCUAUAUCUAAGAAAGGUCUGGAAAGAUGCUGCAAAUUUAGUUAGUUUCUCUGGGAGAAUGAGAUUAGGAGAUUCAGGAGGAAGUGGGGAGGCACUUUUACUUUUUACCUUUUAUACAGUUCUGUAUGGCUUGGCAAAAAAAAAAAAAAAAAACUUUUACAAAGAGAAUGUAUGUAAUAAUUCGUUAAUAGACCAGUAACAAAGCAGUAACAUCACAGACCAAAUUUUAAACUAAAACUCAC